UAUGCAUGAAGAUCCUUGUUUGAAUUCCAUACAGGAGCUUUUUGAACGACACCAUCGGCUAAAAUUCCACUUCCAUUUUCCACACCAACCAGAGGAUCAGAUUCACUUUCCUUGACCUCAGGCAAUUUUGUCGACGCUUCACUGGCCUUCUGCUGAUUCUCAACAGUGCAAUAAUAUGAAUACAGUACCAUCCCAAUUACUGCAAUAAGGAUCC
rnacentral:misc_RNA from 1 species